CUCAAUAAAACUUUUCCUGGGCUGAGUAGCAAAGGGCACCUUAGGUUACCUGAAUGGACAG
ensembl:misc_RNA